GGGGAUGAUCGGUUUCGACAUCGCCUGCAAAACCGAGAGAAGCGGGCCGAGGAUGCAGGGUUAUCUCGUAAACGAUCUCUGCAAAACACAAGUGCCAAUUCCAAGCGCACUGACUUCGCUCUCGCUGCUUAAGCGAGUUUGAGAGUCCGUCAGACCGGAUGCGUUCCCGUUCCGGAUCCUGGCGUCAUUUAGGGGACUUGCUGCGCACCGGCGUUCGGACGGUGUGUGGGACUUUUCCCGGACUGGGCCCGUCGACCUAGAUGCCUGUGGCAAAGGUCGGGGCCGAGUAGAACGUCUGCACAGGAUACGCCCGUAGAAGGCUCGGAAUUACAGCGAUGGACGGGGGUUCAAUUCCCCCCAUCUCCACCA
rnacentral:tmRNA from 1 species